rnacentral:rRNA from 1 species
UACGUAGGGUGCAAGCGUUAAUCGGAAUUACUGGGCGUAAAGCGUGCGCAGGCGGCUUUGCAAGACAGAUGUGAAAUCCCCGGGCUCAACCUGGGAACUGCAUUUGUGACUGCAUGGCUGGAGUGCGGCAGAGGGGGGAUGGAAUUCCGCGUGUAGCAGUGAAAUGCGUAGAUAUGCGGAGGAACACCGAUGGCGAAGCAAUCCCCUGGGCCUGCACUGACGCUCAUGCACGAAAGCGUGGGGAGCAAACAGG